CUCACUCUCAACACCAGGUUCACAAUGCCUACCGAAGACUGAAGUUUAAUCAGGAUAUCCCUUAAACCCUCCUAACCGACUACCAGUCUAGCAAGCGUUGAGUGAAAAUAAUAUUGGAGUACAGAUUCACACCAGGGAGCAGUACAAACAGAAGACACAAAGCCAAGUGUGGAAACACACAAGCCAGCUUCCAUAUUGUGAACUGCCUUGUUGAGAGGCCCCGGUGUCAAGGAACUGAGAGAACUUUCUGGCCAACCGCCAAUGGGAAACUGAGUCCCUCAGUUCAACUACCUCUGAGGAAAUGAAUCCUGAUAAUAACAAUGACUAACUGGACAUGAUCCCUCCCUGCUUCCAAGUCCUCCAAGUCAGUUGAGCCUUCAAUAGAGAUCACAGCAUUGGUCAUUACCUUGAUUGCAGUCUUUUAAGAGACCCUGACUGAGAGAACCUAGCCAAGAUGAGGCUGAAUUUCUGAGCAACAGAGAUUUGUGAGAUAAUAGGUAGUUAAUCUGAGCCACUCUGUUUUGGGUAAUUUGUUAUACAGCAAAAGCUAUGUGGUACAUCUACACAUUUAGCUAAAACUUCACAUAAAAUGGUAUAAAUAUUAUUUACUGGGGUAUUUACUAUUAAUCCUCCCACUUAAAAAGAUAGUAUUAAUAAUCUAAGCCAAGUAUCAUGAGAGGUACUCUGGUUAUUUCUGUUCCUAUUAAUUAUUGCUCAGAUAAAUUUCAAUACUAGAAAGCAGGAAAUGUAUGUUUUUCAAAUGCGACCUAUUGGAAAAACAUUGUCAUGAAAGCCUGCAGGCACUAUUUGGUGAUUCCUCUUCUCUGCUGGUUCAGUGGUACCAUAAUUUUUUUUAAACUGCUCUGACAUUACAAGCUGAAUGCUAUUUCAACAUGUCUUUAUUUUUUUUCUUAAAAAGAUUUUUUAAGUUGCUUCCUCCUGCUUCCCAUUAUGAAAUGACAUCCCUACAUCUUUUUCUUUUUUUUUUUCUCAUACUCUGCUUCUGAUGUUUGACAUGGUGAUUUUCUUUUUAAUUAUAUCAUGUGUUCUUAUUUGUAUCUAUGCUGACUUUAGAAAAUUAAUUCCUGCAGUUCAUAGCUAUAUGUUUCAAAGAUAGCCUUCUUUGAAUGAAAUUAAAAGGAAAAAUGCUAAAAUUCAUUUCCCAACUCACAUGUGAUUCAUUUUAAAGAAACUCACUUUAUG
rnacentral:lncRNA from 1 species